rnacentral:rRNA from 1 species
GCGGACGGGUGAGUAACACGUGGAUAACCUACCUAUAAGACUGGGAUAACUUCGGGAAACCGGAGCUAAUACCGGAUAAUAUUUUGAACCGCAUGGUUCAAAAGUGAAAGACGGUCUUGCUGUCACUUAUAGAUGGAUCCGCGCUGCAUUAGCUAGUUGGUAAGGUAACGGCUUACCAAGGCAACGAUGCAUAGCCGACCUGAGAGGGUGAUCGGCCACACUGGAACUGAGACACGGUCCAGACUCCUACGGGAGGCAGCAGUAGGGAAUCUUCCGCAAUGGGCGAAAGCCUGACGGAGCAACGCCGCGUGAGUGAUGAAGGUCUUCGGAUCGUAAAACUCUGUUAUUAGGGAAGAACAUAUGUGUAAGUAACUGUGCACAUCUUGACGGUACCUAAUCAGAAAGCCACGGCUAACUACGUGCCAGCAGCCGCGGUAAUACGUAGGUGGCAAGCGUUAUCCGGAAUUAUUGGGCGUAAAGCGCGCGUAGG